rnacentral:rRNA from 1 species
UACGUAGGGUCCGAGCGUUGUCCGGAAUUAUUGGGCGUAAAGGGCUCGUAGGCGGUUCGUCACGUCGGGAGUGAAAACUCGGGGCUUAACCCCGAGCCUGCUUCCGAUACGGGCAGACUAGAGGCAGGCAGGGGAGAGCGGAACUCCUGGUGUAGCGGUGGAAUGCGCAGAUAUCAGGAAGAACACCGGUGGCGAAGGCGGCUCUCUGGGCCUUGCCUGACGCUGAGGAGCGAAAGCGUGGGUAGCGAACAGG